UUUUGGUUUUCUGUUUUGUGACCUCGACUUGACCCGUAAGGUCUAAACCUGUGUCAAAGUUCAAAGGCCACAGGUUUUCAUCUUGGGGUACAAGUCUGGUGUCGCGUUUAUCUGCACUGCAU
rnacentral:precursor_RNA from 15 species